AUGGGACGCUCUUAUACAGACAUGGUGCGAAGAGUCUAUUGAGCUAGUUGGUAUUCCUCCGGCCCCUGAAUGCGGCUAAUCCUAACUGUGGAUCAUGCGCCCUCAAACCAGAGGGAAGCGUGUCGUAAUGGGCAACUCCGCAGCGGAACCGACUACUUUGGGUGUCCGUGUUUCAUUUUAUUCUUACUUUGGCUGCUUAUGGUGACAAUUGAAAGGUUGUUACCAUAUAGCUAUUGGAUUGGCCAUCCGGUG
rfam:Coxsackievirus B3 strain AS 5' untranslated region, partial sequence.